AGAUGGUGUUCCAUGACUUCCGCAUCUAUCCCCGGCAUGUCUGUCGGAACCUAAGCGAAAACAUCCACAUUCUUUUGCAGAAAAGUGAUGAGCUGUGUCCGUACCUCCUCUCUUAGGUUGGAGCCGAUCUUCACCACGUGCUCUUCAUUCCCAUCAUUCAAAGAAAUUGAGACAAGAUCUUCAGUUGGCUCACCCCAUUCUUCAGCA
rnacentral:lncRNA from 1 species